rnacentral:rRNA from 1 species
AGGGGAAUAUUGGACAAUGGGCGCAAGCCUGAUCCAGCCAUGCCGCGUGAGUGAUGAAGGCCCUAGGGCUGUAAAGCUCUUUCACCGGUGAAGAUAAUGACGGUAACCGGAGAAGAAGCCCCGGCUAACUUCGUGCCAGCAGCCGCGGUAAUACGAAGGGGGCUAGCGUUGUUCGGAUUUACUGGGCGUAAAGCGCACGUAGGCGGACUUUUAAGUCAGGGGUGAAAUCCCGGGGCUCAACCCCGGAACUGCCAUUUAUACUGGAAGUCUUGAGUAUGGUAGAGGUGAGUGGAAUUCCAAGUGUAGAGGUGAAAUUCGUAGAUAUUCGGAGGAACACCAGUGGCGAAGGCGGCUCACUGGAACAUUACUGACGCUGAGGUGCGAAAGCGUGGGGAGCAAACAGG